rnacentral:rRNA from 1 species
UGGGGAAUUUUGGACAAUGGGCGAAAGCCUGAUCCAGCAAUGCCGCGUGUGUGAAGAAGGCCUUCGGGUUGUAAAGCACUUUUGUCCGGAAAGAAAUCCUCUGGGUUAAUACCUCGGGGGGAUGACGGUACCGGAAGAAUAAGCACCGGCUAACUACGUGCCAGCAGCCGCGGUAAUACGUAGGGUGCAAGCGUUAAUCGGAAUUACUGGGCGUAAAGCGUGCGCAGGCGGUUUUGUAAGACGGAUGUGAAAUCCCCGGGGCUUAACCUGGGAACUGCAUUCGUGACUGCAAGGCUAGAGUAUGGCAGAGGGGGGUAGAAUUCCACGUGUAGCAGUGAAAUGCGUAGAGAUGUGGAGGAAUACCGAUGGCGAAGGCAGCCCCCUGGGCCAAAUACUGACGCUCAUGCACGAAAGCGUGGGGAGCAAACAGGAUUAGAUACCCUGGUAGUCCACGCCCUAAACGAUGUCAACUAGUUGUUGGGGAUUCAUUUCCUUAGUAACGU